AUUUAAAAAACAAAAAAAAAAAAAAACCAAAUUUUACUAAAACCCUAAAUCCUUAAACGUUAUUUCUUCACUGUCUCGAUAAUUCAAAGCCCCAGACCCCGACUCCCUCGUCUCCUUCCUCAAACGACAUUUCUUCACUAUCUCGAAUUUCCAGCAAACUACUUGCAACGAGUUGCAGAGACAAGGGUUCCUAGAGAACUAGAGAUAUCUCUCUUUUCCUCCCUCUAAUUCUCUUCUCCAGGUUUUCUUCUAAUUUUUUUCUUUUCGUUUUCAUGAAGCCAUUUACUGAUUUAGUAUGAGAUAAGAUAUGAAAUGGGGGUAUCCUAUUUUUGUAACUUAUUAUUGUUUAUUGGAUUCUGUAAUAUGGAAUGAGCUCUUUAAUCGUAUUCAAUUAAUUUUUAUGCUAAUACUGUAAUAUUUAUGUUUGGUAAUAUUUAUGUUUUUGGGAUUUGUUGGUUUCAGUAGUGUUAAGAAAUCGUUAUGACUGUUUUUAUCACAUUUGCCCUGAAUUUUGAGUAUGGAGACUCUAUAAUCUUGAUCAAUGGAAUAUUACUAUCUUUAAUUA